CAUAGGAUUUAAGCAACUCA
rnacentral:miRNA from 1 species